ACACGCAUGACAGACACGCUGAAGGACUUUUCUGAAUGAUGUAAGUGGUGGUGCAUGGUCGUUCUUAGUUCGUGGAGUGGUUUGUCUGGUCUAUUCCGAUAACGAGCGAGACCCCGACGAUCUAACUAGGGGUGGCAGCCCGGCUUGUUGCUUUCACAGGCGACUCGCUAGCAGCCACCCACAAAGUCUACUUCUUAGACGCAUCAGAGCCGAUAAGGUUCUUUAAAAUGGGUUAAUAACAGGUCAGUGAUGCCCUUAGAUGUUCUGGGCCGCACGCGCGUUACACUGGCAUGCACAGAGAGUGCUCAAAAGGCGAAUCCAUCACCUAUUGGCCGUGGUACCCAGUAGUCCCUGCUAUGACUGGGACAGGCUCUUGGAAAUAUCGGUCUCAAACGAGGAAUUUUUAGUAGUCACAGGUCAUUAACCUGUGACGA
rnacentral:rRNA from 1 species